AUUGAACGCUGGCGGCAUGCCUUACACAUGCAAGUCGAACGGUAACGGGCCUUCGGGUGCCGACGAGUGGCGAACGGGUGAGUAAUACAUCGGAACGUGCCCGAUCGUGGGGGAUAACGAGGCGAAAGCUUUGCUAAUACCGCAUACGAUCUACGGAUGAAAGCAGGGGACCGCAUGGCCUUGCGCGGACGGAGCGGCCGAUGGCAGAUUAGGUAGUUGGUGGGAUAAAAGCUUACCAAGCCGACGAUCUGUAGCUGGUCUGAGAGGAUGAUCAGCCACACUGGGACUGAGACACGGCCCAGACUCCUACGGGAGGCAGCAUUGGGGAAUUUUGGACAAUGGGCGCAAGCCUGAUCCAGCCAUGCCGCGUGCAGGAUGAAGGCCUUCGGGUUGUAAACUGCUUUUGUACGGAACGAAAAGCCUUCUUUUAAUACAGGAGGGUCAUGACGGUACCGUAAGAAUAAGCACCGGCUAACUACGUG
rnacentral:rRNA from 1 species